rnacentral:lncRNA from 1 species
UUCUGAAAUGUGUUGUUCCAUGUUGUUUGUUAAAGAGGAUGGCAUUCCCUGUGGAUUUACUGAAUAAUUGCAGUCAUGAGGAAUUGGAAAACGCUGCUGAAGAUUACAUGUCAGAUUUAAGGUGUGGGGACCCUGAAAAUCCAGAGUAUUUUUCUUUUCUCAAUAUUACGGUAAGGCAUUUUGCAGUGAUGUUUUUUUAAAUCA